rnacentral:rRNA from 1 species
UACGUAGGUGGCGAGCGUUGUCCGGAUUUACUGGGCGUAAAGAGCGCGCAGGCGGUCGUCCAAGUCGCGUGUGAAAGCCCCCGGCUCAACUGGGGAGGGUCACGCGAUACUGCUCGACUCGAAGGCAGGAGAGGGAAGUGGAAUUCCCGGUGUAGUGGUGAAAUGCGUAGAUAUCGGGAGGAACACCAGUGGCGAAGGCGACUUCCUGGCCUGUUCUUGACGCUGAGGCGCGAAAGCUAGGGUAGCAAACGGG